CGUAUACUCCCUCCGUCCGAAAAUACUUGUCAUCAAAAUGGAUUAAAAAUGUAUCUAGAACUAAAAUAUGUCUAGAUGCAUCCUCUUUUAUCCAUUUUGAUGACAAGUAUUUCCGGACGGAGGGAAUAUAAU
rnacentral:pre_miRNA from 1 species